UGAGAGUUCAAGAGGGCGUGAAACCGUUUAGAAGUAAACGGAUGGACCCGACAGUGAGUCGGCAGCAUUCAACUCUUUGUCCCACCAUUGCACAGUGUGGUUUCGUACUUGACUGAGCAUAUGUGGUCAAGGAGUGCAUUUGCUGUCGAUGAGCACUAGGGCCUGUGACGGCGCUGGAAUAAAGUGGGCAAUUGCCGGCCACACCUGUGUGGUGUUCCCGUUGCUCGCUGUAACCGGGUUGCUGUGACAGGAGAAAUCAUUGCACGGGGCCCGCCUUUACUCGACUGCUGGGAGAGCCUUGUCAAAUGAAGUGCAAUUCCUUGCUCGCAAGACUUUGCGAUGCCUGGCUCGGUAAUUCUGGUAGAUCGAGUGGGUCCUGAACCCUGGUGAUUUUGUCGGCCACCCAUCCGACCCGUCUUGAAACACGGACCAAGGAGUCUAACAUGUGCGCGAGUCAAUGGGUGGGAAAACCCAGAGGCGAAAUGAAAGUGAAGCCUGGUUCGGCUGGGUGUCAUGGGACCCUUUGUCGUUGGUGGCAGAGGAGCACCAUGGUCCCGUUCAUGCUGCAUCGUCAGCAGGGCGGAGAUUGAGCGUACACGUUGGGACCCGAAAGAUGGUGAACUAUGCCUGAGCAGGAUGAAGCCAGAGGAAACUCUGGUGGAGGUCCAUAGCGAUUCUGACGUGCA
rnacentral:rRNA from 1 species